rnacentral:rRNA from 1 species
GAUGAAUGCUGGCGGCGUGCCUAGCACAUGCAAGUCGAGCGGCAGCGCGAGUAGUUUACUACUUGGCGGCGAGCGGCGGACGGCUGAGUAACGCGUGGGAACGUGCCCCAAAGUGAGGGAUAACGCACCGAAAGGUGUGCUAAUACCGCAUAUGGUCUUCGGAUUAAAGAAUUUAUUCGCUUUGGGAGCGGCCCGCGUCGGAUUAGGUAGUUGGUAGGGUAAUGGCCUACCAAGCCGACGAUCCGUAGCUGGUCUGAGAGGAUGAUCAGCCAGACUGGAACUGAGACACGGUCCAGACUCCUACGGGAGGCAGCAGUGAGGAAUCUUCCACAAUGGGCGAAAGCCUGAUGGAGCAACGCCGCGUGCAGGAUGAAGGCCUUCGGGUUGUAAACUGCUUUUAUAAGUGAAGAAUAUGACGGUAACUUAUGAAUAAGCACCGGCUAACUACGUGCCAGCCGCCGCGGUAA